rnacentral:rRNA from 1 species
GCAGUCGAGGGGUAUAUUUCUUCGGAGAUAGAGACCGGCGCACGGGUGCGUAACGCGUAUGCAAUCUACCUUUUACAGAGGGAUAGCCCAGAGAAAUUUGGAUUAAUACCUCAUAGUAUAGCUCUACCGCAUGGUAGUACUAUUAAAGUCACAACGGUAAAAGAUGAGCAUGCGUCCCAUUAGCUAGUUGGUAAGGUAACGGCUUACCAAGGCUACGAUGGGUAGGGGUCCUGAGAGGGAGAUCCCCCACACUGGUACUGAGACACGGACCAGACUCUUACGGGAGGCAGCAGUGAGGAAUAUUGGACAAUGGGCGCAAGCCUGAUCCAGCCAUGCCGCGUGCAGGAUGACGGUCCUAUGGAUUGUAAACUGCUUUUAUACGAGAAGAAACACUGCUUCGUGAAGCAGCUUGACGGUAUCGUAAGAAUAAGGAUCGGCUAACUCCGUGCCAGCAGCCGCGGUAAUAC